AUACAAAAUUUUUUCACUUUAAGCUAAACUGGUUUUUCACGGCGAUCGCUCGCGGUAUAUAAUAAAUUCAUUGAUUUAUUGGUAAUUUCUUUUUUUCUUUUUUUUUUUUUUUUUUUUUUUUUUUUUUUUUUUUUGUUUCCCUCAGAUUCCAAAAUUGCAUUUUGUCUAAACGAUGGUUGAUUAAAUAAAUAAAUGGAACAUUGAGAACCAUAUGGUUUUUAUCACGUAAAGCAGCGUCGCAUGAUGAUUAUUGCACAAUUCUGUCAAUUUUUCCACGUGUCACGAACGAUUGCUUGCGAGAGAAAUACCGGUGAUAAAUUUACCAAUAAAUUUACCAAAUUUUUCUCAUUUGUACGCGCCGAAUGGGACCUUGAAUAAACAAAGAAUCGUAAAAAAAAAAGAUACGUAUUUCCGAUCGAUCGAUUUAACUUUCUGCUAUGAGCAUAUUGCAAUUAUGAAUUGAGAUACAACAAUGUGCAAACGUGUUUUUGCCAAUCAAUUUCAAACGAGGAUUAAUGUUGCCAAUCUAGCGGCCGCGAAAAGUUUCUGGAAAACGGUUUGUCAUGUAAGCAUUUAUGCGUGAAAUUUUGCCUCCACUUUGACCAUUAUGUCGUAACAGUUGAUACUAUGACGCAAAGGCAAUAAAUACUUCCUUUGUCUCGAAAGCCGCACCCUAAGUUUCAAUGCCGGCCAUUAUCUGACCUACAUAGACGGUAUCACUGAUUAAUGCAGUCUAAAUUAACACAUGUCUCACUUAUCUAUCAUAAAACGUGCAAAAAAAUAUCAUCCGAAUCGAUGUAAGACUAAUCGAUUUAUCGCGAACAUUGCGAUCAAUAUUACGAGAGAAGAUACUUCAAUUUUGGACAAGAAAGAAACAAAAUAUUUAUUAAUCAUCGUGAUAUAUGAUCGAAAAAAUAAAUAAAUAACAAAAAAAAAAAAAAAAAAGAAAAUAGAUCGAAUGACAAAAACGGAAUUAAUCGAAAUCGAUCUCGAUUAAACGGACAGACAGAGCUACCACCGGCGGAGAAACGACGAAACAAAAAUAUUACAUAUUAGUUCGAGUAGUAUGUGUUGUGUGAAUGUGCUGUUCGAGAAUAUUUGCCGAAGAGAAUAUUAACCAGAAAAAGAAAGUGUUACUAUACUUUUUGUUAAAAUUCAUUUCAAUAACGAUCGCGAUAAGGAAAGUGCAUAUAUUUUUAUUAAGUAACUUUCGAUGUAACUGGCGAGGCAAAAGAUAACCUUGUCCUAACCUAAAACUUGUAUCGCUUACCGACUCGACUUGCUGAACAAUAAAAUGAGAGAAAGAAAGAGAAGAAAGGAAACAAUUCAAAGUAAGUAGAUCAGAACGAAAAUCGAAGAUUCGUUAUUUAUCGCCGGUGUUCCUCUUUCCUUGAAACUUUCACGAAAACCCAUACCGACAGCGACGCGAAGCCCCUCGACGGGCUAUCGAGCUUAAUUGACGCCAAUUUGCCCGAGCAAUUUAGAAUCACGACCCCUGACCGUAAACGUACGGGGUUUCGGCGCUUCCCCCCGAAAAAAGAAAAAAAAAAAAAAAAAAAAAAAAGAAGAGACAGCGAGCGAUCGUCGACUAUUCCGUUUUUCACAGUUCGUUGCUCCUCAAGGACAAAAAGUUAUACAUAAAUAAAUCUCUCGAGAAAGAAAGGCCGGCCGGUGCUCAAUCGAUGCGCGUGCGCGAGCUGGACCAUUGUAUUACGUAUAUCAGUUCCAUAUAUCUUCCAUUUAUUUCUUUUUUUUUUCCUUUUUUUCACGAUCGUAUUUUUCUUUAUUUUUUUUUUUUUUUUUUUUUUUCCUCGUUAACGCGAGAACGGUCCAAAAGAAAGUUCGCGAGACAUUAUUCGUGUCCUACGGGAACAUUCUUCGAAUCCAUGCUAUCUACAUGUAAACGAGGUUUGCGAGAUCCCUAGAUUAUUUCCUCCUAUGUACAUCUAUAUUUUUCUUUUCCUCCUUUUCUUUUUUUAUUUUUUUUUUUUUCUUUUUUCUCUCAUUCGCUGUGUUUAAAUAUCGUCUUUUCAUCGUUUAUACAUUAUUACGUAUUUAAUUAAUCAUUACGUAUAUCGUUAAAUUGCGUGUAUACAAGGUAUAAACUAAAUUAAUGUCGAAUCUAAGUUUUACAACACAGCACAAGAAUUCGCCGCGGCAAAGUUCUCCGACGUGUAUUCAGCCCGGUUGGACGACAGAACGAUGUCAUCGAUCCUGUCAUCGAUUCUCGAAUGAAUUUGUCAACCAGGCCGAUAGAUGGUGCGUUUGGUCACUGCCUGGCACGCUUAACAUGCGUUCGAUGGAUAUCCAUGAACAGAACCGCUGUGUAAUUUGUCGAAUAUGCGAGCUACUAAGAAACGAAGCAGUGAUUAUAAUUGACACGUAUUCCAAACGUAUGACUAGUGAUUGCAUAUUGAAAAUGGAAACGAGGUUAUUUUAAUCAGGUAUAUUUCAUCUUAAGAUGAUUUUAAGAAAACCAUAUUGAUUUUAGAUCUUUGUCCUAUGAAGGUACGAAAUAAACUUUUUGAAUUAAAGAAGAGCUAGAAUAAUGGCUUUUGUCGAUGGCUCUACUCUCUAGAGAGCAAGUUAAGGUGCCAAGCAGUUUCAUGCCGAAAGCAUCCUAUUCCAAAAAUAUGCUACGAAUUACAUCACUGGUAACUUGGCCUCGUAUCUCACGGAGCAGCGGUAAAAUUUCAAUGAUCACUCGCCCUCAAAGAUUCCCCGAAUUUUGAUUUUAUCGAGGAUUUCUCUCGUCAAAGUAGGUUUUUUUCUUUUUUUUCUCUCUCUUUCAUUGUUCGAAUAUUUACAAAGGGAACGAAAACGUGGUAAGUGAAGUUAAACGAUACGAAUUAGCGAAACAAUUCUUUUAAAUAUUUCCACUUUAUGGCAUUAUCUGCAUUGAUGAAAAGUGCUUGCAAGAAAGUUUAAAAUUUUCUGAAUAAUAUCUUGUAAGUAAAAU
rnacentral:lncRNA from 1 species